rnacentral:rRNA from 1 species
GGGCUUCGWAUGACGCGGGCUGGACCUCUCGGGGUUACAGCCUUGCUGAAUUAUUCACCCUUGUCUUUUGCGUACUUCUUGUUUCCUUGGUGGGUUCGCCCACCACUAGGACAAACAUAAACCUUUUGUAAUUGCAAUCAGCGUCAGUAACAAAUUAAUAAUUACAACUUUCAACAACGGAUCUCUUGGUUCUGGCAUCGAUGAAGAACGCAGCGAAAUGCGAUAAGUAGUGUGAAUUGCAGAAUUCAGUGAAUCAUCGAAUCUUUGAACGCACAUUGCGCCCUUUGGUAUUCCAAAGGGCAUGCCUGUUCGAGCGUCAUUUGUACCCUCAAGCUUUGCUUGGUGUUGGGCGUCUUGUCUCUAGCUUUGCUGGAGACUCGCCUUAAAGUAAUUGGCAGCCGGCCUACUGGUUUCGGAGCGCAGCACAAGUCGCACUCUCUAUCAGCAAAGGUCUAGCAUCCAUUAAGCCUUUUUUUCAACUUUUGACCUCGGAUCAGGUAGGGAUACCCGCUGAACUUAAGCAUAUCAAAAGGCCGGAGGAA